rnacentral:sRNA from 1 species
GAGGCAGGGGGGUCAACACCCGACAGCGCGUCGCGCCCUCGGGUGCUUUGGUG